AUAAACCCAUGGACGUUUACAUUAAUCGAUUAAAAUUUUAGUCAAUAUAAAAAGUCAAUUCCAAUUAAUGUUAAAUUUGAAUAGCCGCAAUCGAGUGUUUUCUUUUAAUCAAUAGAAAAAAUUUUUAAGUUUGAAACUUGAAAAAAAAAAAAAAAAAUUGCGUCACUGAAUAGCGUCACAAAACAAUCGUUAUAAAAAUGCUUACGCCUCCCCCUCCUCCCCCAUACAACGUGGUGUAAUUUGUGAACGACCCCUAAGCCAUUGUGUUUGUUUAAGAGCUUAUUUCAAAAUUUUCGUGCAAAAAUUUUGAAAUAAGCUCUUUUAUUUAGCAUAUUUGACAAUUGCAAAUUUACCUUUUUUGAUGUCUUAGUAAUUUCUUCACAAAGAAGUUUCAAAAUUAUAGUUUGCGGCUUAUUUUUUUUACUUGUCCUGCUCGAUGGGUUCUCACGAAGACAAUGUCAUCCGCAAUUCCCAAAUGGUUGUUCAAGACAUUUUUGACUAUUUUAGCACAGUCACAUGUUUCACAGGGAGAUUCACCUACAACUCUUAGAUUGUUUUGGUGCCCCAAGAAGUCCUAACAGUCUUGUCACAAAGCACCGUGGAAGUGCAUUUAAACAGAAAGUUCACGCCUCCUUCCUUACCGUGACCCGAAAUAUGUCCAAAGCUCGUUUCGAACCUGAACCUUCUGUUUAUAAAGUAAGUGCUCUAACCACUGCACCACGGCUGCAAAAUAGUUUGUUUGAUAUCGCUAAUGUUUUUUUCUAAAGUUGAAGUUUUUGGUUUGUUGAUGUUAAUUUCACUUUCAAGUCUAUCAAGUCUAUCCGUGAUAAAUUUUAGAUUUGAGCUUACUAU